rnacentral:lncRNA from 1 species
GUAAUUCUAAAUCAGGUCUAUGAAAUCUAGAUUUGCAUUUGUCUACUGUGAAAGGAAAUUAGAUGUAAUGAUUUCUUGAAGUUGUUUGACAAAGUCAAGAUUUCCAGGACUUUGUUGCUGUUACUGUAUACAGUAGUUCACAAAAGAAUAUCAACAGAGGAUGGACAAGUUUUUGUAAAACCUUGUUUCUUACAUUUCUCUAGGGUUUCUGACUCAGAGCUGUAAAAACCCAAGAAUAAAGUAGUAAACACACAAUGAUGCAUCUGUGACCAUUUGCUCCCCCUUUUGAUCUGUUUGAUUUCCUUCCACAAAACAGUUUAUUCCCCUUUGGUCCUGGUCAAAGAUUUGAUCAUUGCCUUCACUUCUCUAGGUACUUCUCUAACCUUUUGCUUGCAGGAGGAAUUAUCACACUGGUCCUCCGUGCUCUGUUUUUCAUAUGCAGUGUCAUAGGCUACUCUUUUCUGCAUGGUAGGGAAAGGCUGUGGAAAUACAGCCCUCAAUCAGCUUCUACCUUUCUUCUCCCCUUAUUUCCAAAAUUUAAAUUUUGUCCCACAUUGAAUAGUCUCUUAUUUUUCAAAAAGAAUGACAAAGGCCAGAGAGGGAUAACUUUUGCGCUGAAUGCCUAUCAAAAAUCCCUGCUGUGUUUCAGGCCCCUUGCAACUUCCUUUUACCCAAUAUGUGUCAUCCAGCAAUGGGUACAAGUCAUUAAGGAGGCAGAGAGGAUUGCUGAAGUGAUGUACCUAUUCAGAGCAUUGCCUCAAGCAACCCCAGCCUGUAGCUGCUGGCUAGUUCUGAAGUCUGAGUUCAGCUUUGGCCCCAAGGGUUACAACACCUUGUUUUCCAUCACAAUGCAAAUAGCAGAUGCAAUGGGACAUCCACUUGCCAGAGUGGGUUCUAGAGCUGAAAUUGUCCCAGGGAUUCACAGUGAAACACACUCAGACAGCUGCUGCUUAAAAGCACAAGAUUACGCUUUGCAGUGUGGAAGAACAACUAUUAAAAUAUGAGAUAUCCAAACUAGGAUUUAUAGACAUCAAUUUAUUUAACAUGCACG